CUAUCCUGGGGCUGGAGAAGGUCCCAAGGGUCCGGCUGUUCGCCGGUUAAAAGGGUACGCGAGCUGGGUUCAGAACGUAGAUUUGUACUGCGUUAAACAGCAGUAAUGCUGUUUUAGUAUUAGCUAUAUCGGUGAAACCUAAUUUCGUUUCCGAACGCGAUUAUGGUAAUACCGAGGGAAGCUUUCCAAUCGAGGGUAUUUUUCAUAUACUAAAAAUAUGACGAAGCGACAAAAUGAAUUAAUUGUUGGAAAACUGUUAGGUAACGGAAGUUUAGAGGAUCGUGGAAAUGCUAAUUCUCGAUUACAAAUAAGACACUCGAUAAAUCAAAAAGAAUAUGUUGAUUGGUGUUAUAGACAACUAAAAGAGUUUACUUGUUCAAAUCCAAAACAACAUAAAGAGCCUUAUUACUUUCGUACGAAAAGCUUACCUCUUUUUUCUCGUUUGAGAAAAAUCUGGUACAACAACAAAAAGAAAAUUUUACCUAUAAAUUUAAAUCUAUCGCCUUUUAGUCUUGCAAUUUGGUAUAUGGAUGACGGUUAUUAUGAUCGAAUAAGAAAAUCUAUUUGGAUUUGUACUCAUUGUUUUAAUAUGGGUGAUUUAACUUUUCUGCAGAAUCUGCUUUUUCGAAUGAAGAUUCAUACAGGAAAAGUGAAAGAUCGUACUCAUUAUAAACUAAGAGUUAUAUCGAAAGAUACCAAAGAAUUUAUUCGGUUAGUAAGACCGUAUAUUGUACCUUCGUUACUGUAUAAAAUUGGAAUAGCCCCGUAGAGACUAUACGCUAACUCCGUUUACAGGCGGAUGAAGAUAUAGUCCAUGCCACUAGAAAUAGUUGGAAAAACAUGCGUAAGACAGUUCGGUCUCUAUCCUGUGCAAGCGUUGGAUACUUGAGGAGGUCUCUUGCUAGUACGAGAGGACUGCGAGGGGGGAAUCACUGGUGUGCCAGUUGUGGAAGUUUACUUCUGCAGCAUGCUGGAUAGCUACAUUUCCUUGGGAUAAGCGCUGAAAGCAUCUUAAGCGCCAAGCCCUCUCCAAGAUAAGGUAUCCUUUUUAGACCCCUUGUAGAAUACAAGGUUGAUAGGCGGAAAGUGUACGCCCCGUAAGGGGUUUAGCUCAUCCGUACUAAUCGGUCGAGAGUAAAUUUUAA
rnacentral:ncRNA from 1 species